rnacentral:rRNA from 1 species
UACGUAGGGGGCGAGCGUUGUCCGGAAUUAUUGGGCGUAAAGGGCGCGUAGGUGGCCCGGUCAGUUCGUGGUGAAAGCGCGGGGCUCAACCCUGCGUCGGCCAUGAAUACUGCCGCGGCUGGAGCACUGUAGAGGCAGGCGGAAUUCCGGGUGUAGCGGUGGAAUGCGUAGAGAUCCGGAAGAACACCGGUGGCGAAGGCGGCCUGCUGGGCAGUUGCUGACACUGAGGCGCGACAGCGUGGGGAGCAAACAGG